rnacentral:tRNA from 1 species
AGGGGAUCGUCAAAAGACCGCAGGGGUGACGGGGGAGGAUACGGAGGCUCUUGCCGCCUUGCCCGCCCCUCAGC